UAGGGAAUCUUCGGCAAUGGACGAAAGUCUGACCGAGCAACGCCGCGUGAGUGAAGAAGGUUUCGGAUCGUAAAACUCUAGUUGUUAGAGAAGAACAAGGAUGAGAGUAACUGUUCAUCCCUUGACGGUAUCUAACCAGAAAGCCACGGCUAACUACGUGCCAA
rnacentral:rRNA from 1 species